rnacentral:rRNA from 1 species
UACGAAGGGGGCAAGCGUUGUUCGGAAUGACUGGGCGUAAAGGGCGCGUAGGCGGUUCGUUGCGUCAGAUGUGAAAGCCCCGGGCUCAACCUGGGAACUGCAUUUGAUACGGGCGGGCUUGAAUCCAAGAGAGGGUGGUGGAAUUCCCAGUGUAGAGGUGAAAUUCGUAGAUAUUGGGAAGAACACCAGUGGCGAAGGCGGCCACCUGGCUUGGUAUUGACGCUGAGGCGCGAAAGCGUGGGGAGCGAACGGG